rnacentral:tRNA from 1 species
GCAGCAGGUGGCGUAGUGAUUAGAGCCAUCGUUUUGCAAUCGAAAGUCCCGGGUUCGAAUGUCGUCCCUGCG